CGCGUAGGCGGCUUUAUAAGUCGGUUGUGAAAGCCCCGGGCCUCAACCCGGGGAGGCCAACCGAUACUGUGGGGCUUGAGUGCAGGAGAGGGAAGCGGAACUGGCCGGUGUAGCGGUGGAAUGCGUAGAUAUCGGCAGGAACACCCGCGGCGCAGGCGGCUUCCUGGACUGCCCACUGACGCUGAGGCGCGAAAGCCAGGGGAGCGAACGGGGAUUAGAUACCCCGGUAGUCCUGGCCCUAAACGAUGGUCACUAGGUGUCGCGGGUAUCGACCCCUGCGGUGCCGCAGCCAACGCAGUAAGUGACCCGCCUGGGGAGUACGGGCCGCAAGGUUGAA
rnacentral:rRNA from 1 species